rnacentral:rRNA from 1 species
AUACGAAGGGUGCAAGCGUUGUCCGGAUUUAUUGGGUUUAAAGGGUGCGUAGGUGGUUUUUUAAGUCAGUGGUGAAAGCCUACAGCUUAACUGUAGAGGUGCCAUUGAUACUGGGGAACUUGAGUAUGGACGAGGUAGGCGGAAUUUGUGGUGUAGCGGUGAAAUGCAUAGAUACCACAAGGAACACCGAUAGCGAAGGCAGCUUACUGGGCCAUAACUGACACUGAGGCACGAAAGCGUGGGGAGCGAACAGGAUUAGAAACCCUUGUAGUCC